GAUUCUUCGAUGCUCGAUGAAACUUCCGAUUGAAGACUACGCUUUAUAUAGCAAAUGACCUUGCAAAUAACCUUCUCAAGUGGUCUAAUCAGGAUAUGGUCCAAUGAGAUAGGAGUUUAUAAAACUGCUGACAGAUAUUCUAGGCACCAUGUUGGUUAAUUACCCUUUAAAUAACUUGUGCCUCCAGCCCUUUACAUACUUCUUGACAUGAUAAGUUAUGUCUAUCGAGUAGACUACUCUGUCCUAUUCUUUUUAGUUGGUCAUAUGCCUGUAAUUGAUUAUGUUAAAAAGCUUUUGAUAGUUCUAUGCCUGUAAUUGACUGUGUUAAAAAGCUUUUGAUAGUUCUAUUACAUUAGCGUGGAUAGCUUCUCGUAUUCGCACGUAGUAUGUCCAUAAAAAUAAAAUGCUCUUCCUUUUAAAUGUAUCUCAGUUUUUGAAGACAUCAAUGUGGAUGGGAUAUAACUUUAAGAGAUAUAUUUGGAAGGAAGAACAUUCUAUUCUUCCAGACAUAUCUACAACGGGAUUUCCUUUUCUAAUUCAUGGUCUUAACUGCUCUGAGUUCAGUUUGAGCUCGCAUUUGCAUUGACUAAUGUACAUGGACUUGCUACCUAGAUACAUUAACAGGGGUGACGAAUUUUCUCUCAUCUAACUGAUUUAGCAUUUUUCACUCUUCGAUGGUUGAGAUGGCUAAAACACUCAAUAUUGAGGCUCCCGACUUGUGUGUAUGCCAAAGUCCCGUAACCAAUGCAUAUGCACCGGCCGUUAGUGCAGAGGAAUGGAGAGAUGACACAAGAGAAACAGCUUUGAGCCAUUUUAAAAGUGCGGGACAACUUUUACUACACUUGAUUGCACGGGUAGAUGACGUGUAAGAUUAUCUUACACAAAAUCUAGUCCAUGUUGUAUGUUACGUUGUUCGAGAUUAGUUUGAAGAUGCAACUCCCUUCUGGAAAAAGCGUGCAUGAAGUAGUAAUGUCUCUUCCAAAUAAUUCACAUGAAUAUUCUUUUUUGGUAUUUACACAUGAAUCUUCUUUCUAUGAUGUAUCUUGUUACAUUUAUGUUUCAAAGGUGUGACAAAAUACGUUUGUAUUGUUGUAUUGUUAUUGCCUCUAUUAUUCUAAAUAAA